ACAGCUGGAAACGGCUGCUAAUACCGAAUACGUUCUUUCUGUCGCAUGGCAGAAGGAAGAAAGGGAGGCUCUUCGGAGCUUUCGCUGGAGGAGGGGCUUGCGUCUGAUUAGCUAGUUGGAGGGGUAACGGCCCACCAAGGCGACGAUCAGUAGCCGGUCUGAGAGGAUGAACGGCCACAUUGGGACUGAGACACGGCCCAGACUCCUACGGGAGGCAGCAGUGGGGAAUCUUCCGCAAUGGACGAAAGUCUGACGGAGCAACGCCGCGUGAACGAUGACGGCCUUCGGGUUGUAAAGUUCUGUUAUACGGGACGAAUGGUACGACGGCCAAUACCCGUCGUAAGUGACGGUACCGUAAGAGAAAGCCACGGCUAACUACGUGCCAGCAGCCGCGGUAAUACGUAGGUGGCAAGCGUUGUCCGGAAUUAUUGGGCGUAAAGGGCGCGCAGGCGGCGUCGUAAGUCGGUCUUAAAAGUGCGGGGCUUAACCCCGUGAGGGGACCGAAACUGCGAUGCUAGAGUAUCGGAGAGGAAAGCGGAAUUCCUAGUGUAGCGGUGAAAUGCGUAGAUAUUAGGAGGAACACCAGUGGCGAAAGCGGCUUUCUGGACGACAACUGACGCUGAGGCGCGAAAGCCAGGGGAGCAAACGG
rnacentral:rRNA from 1 species